GAUGAACGCUGACAGAAUGCUUAACACAUGCAAGCCAACUUGAAUUUGGGUUUUUAACUUAGGUUUGGGUGGCGGACGGGUGAGUAACGCGUAAAGACAUUGCCUCACAGCUAGGGACAACAUUUGGAAACGAAUGCUAAUACCUAAUAUUAUGAUAAUAGGGCCUCCUAUAAUUAUGAAAGCUAUAAGCGCUGUGAGAGAGCUUUGCGUCCCAUUAGCUAGUUGGAGAGGUAACGGCUCACCAAGGCGAUGAUGGGUAGCCGGCCUGAGAGGGUGAUCGGCCACAAGGGGACUGAGACACGGCCCUUACUCCUACGGGAGGCAGCAGUGGGGAAUAUUGGACAAUGGACCGAGAGUCUGAUCCAGCAAUUCUGUGUGCACGAUGAAGUUUUUCGGAAUGUAAAGUGCUUUCAGUUGGGAAGAAACAAAUGACGGUACCAACAGAAGAAGUGACGGCUAAAUACGUG
rnacentral:rRNA from 1 species